UUCUUUAAAACAAUCAAAUUCAGCUAUUUGAUGAUUCUCUGAUGGUAGAUUAAAGCCAAUUCCUUUGUUGAGAAUUAGGUCGUCGAUCUCGGCCUGAGUAAACCCUUGAACACCCUGGAUUUGGAUUUGGAUUUCUCUUGUGUUUUCUUGCACGAUGUUUUUGUCAAGAACAUUUCUUUGAUUGUUAGACUCAACAGGAUUACUGUCUGAAGAUGAUAUGAUAUUAUUCGUGUUGCUUUUUUCCACUUCAUUCGCCUUGAAAUUGGUCAUGGUAUUGGCAAACUCAUUGAUCCCAACCUUUUGCCCAAGUUCAUGAGCUUGGUUAUGAUCACUAGGAUUUAUCGGUGCGAAAAGAGGUGAUUGAUUCUCAUUUAUGCCAUUACCUUGUAGGGUUUGGAUCAUUUUUUGUUGAAGAUGGGUUAACUUAGGCCAAAGUGUUGGAUUAUUAUAGAAAGAAAGAGGGUUUUGUAGGGUUUGAAGUUGCAUAUGAAGUUGAAGCCUUUCGAGAGCCGAGUUGCUUAGGUUUUGGAGUAAAGAAUUUUCUUCUAAUCCAUUUGUUUCCUUAAGAUCUUGACCACUACUAGCAAGUAAUAAUCUAUUCAUUUGAGAUUGUUUUCUUUUCCCAAGCAACUUCUUCUUCAAUCGAGUAUUCCAGUAAUUCUUGAUAUCAUUAUCUGUUCUUCCAGGAAGUUGUGCAGCUAUUAUAGACCACCUAGUGUUUUAACAACAGGGUUUUAAACAUAAUUAGACUAGGUUCUCCAUGACAUAAUAUAACAGCCUAAGCUUUUAGAUGAGACCGUUAUACACUUAAACAAAAUUUACUGUAAGAAAGGAAUUUGGAUCAUCAACAAGAAACAUGAAUAAAAAUAGGUUUUUAAUAACUUUGGGGAAGUGAGAUAUUCCUAAUAAUGAUCUCUAACAAGAACUAGAGAACAAGUAAUUUAGUUGGAUUUCCAUUAUUUUUGCUGUUAUUGUUUGUGUGUUUCUCUUUGUAUGUGUGUGUGAGAGAGAGAUGAAUAUAUACCUGCUGCCAAUGCUAAUAUAGAGGCUGCAAAUGAUGUUGUCUUCUUCUUCAGUAAAUCCACCAUGUUUAAUAUUAGGUCUUAAGUAAUUGAGCCAUCUAAGUCUGCAACUCUUUCCACAUCUCUUAAGCCCUAAAAAAUUAUUUUAAAAAAAUCAAUCAGAUUAAUCUUGACAAAAUUCAAUUUUUAAAGGUAUUUCUCUCGGUGCACUAAGCUGCUGCUCCAGGGAAGGCCUGACCACAAUGGUCUAUUAUACGCAGCCUUAUCCUACAUUUCUGCAAGAUGUUGUUUCCAUGGCUUGGACCCGUGGGCUCCUGAUCAUAUUGCAGCAACUUUACCGAUGACGCCAAGGUUCCCGUCAUAUUUCUCGAUCGAAACGAAUGAUAUAGAGAGACAAGGAGAAGAAGAUGAUACCUAUUUUUUGGGGAAGAGCAAUCCAGUUAUUACCAGUGCCAUUUUCUUCAAUAUAUGCUUUGAGUUUUGCAUCUUCUUCUGGUGACCAUGGACCUUUCUUCACAUUAUUUUUGUCACAACAUGGAGCUCUACCCAUAUUUAUUUUCAACUUUUUUUCUUCUGAUAUACCUUUACAUUAUUUCUUCACAUUAUUUUUGUCACAACAUGGAGCUCUACCCAUUUUUUUUUUCUUCUAAUAAAUUUUGCUUCCAAAUAAUUUCUUCUCUUUAUCUCUCAAAACCUUUGAUUCUUGAACUUGUGAAUGUUGGUUUGAAAAACAUUGGAAAGGAA
rnacentral:lncRNA from 1 species